rnacentral:tRNA from 1 species
GCCGGGGUCGCAUAACCUGGUAGUGCGCCAGCCUGCUAAGCUGGUCUCCGCAAGGACUUCUGGGUUCAAAUCCCAGCUCCGGCG